UUUGAUGCUCUUGUUACUCCGAAAAGAAACAUGAUAGUAGACAACUGAAGCAUGAGGCUUGGCCUCAAGGCAAACAGUUUUAGGGUAUUUCAAGGCAAGUUAACAAUUUGAGAAAGAUAUGUCAUACUCAAUACAACAAAAUGUCUAUAUACAAAUUUUAAAAAGUUGCAUGUAUACUACUUUACCUGUUUAAUAUAUUUUGCAAACAGCACGAUUCAAUCAAGUGCGCCGGUGGACAAAUAAAUUGUAUCAGCUGAGCGCAUGAGGCACGCUAGUUGGUUGGACUGGAGUUCGGGCGUAAAGGUGACAUGCGUGAACAACCAAUGGAGUUGAAUCUACGUCAAAGAACGCGACUGCUCAGACCAACCGGGACCGAUAUAUCUACAUAUCAACGUUGAGACCACGCCCAGAGGCUAGAUGGAGUGAUAGAGUAAAUGCCUUUAAACCGGAUUUGGUAUCAGCUUUUACGUCUUACAGACCUACAUUGAAAGAGGUUUGCACACGGAAAACAGAUCCUGGAUCAGAGCUCCAAUACAAAAUUAAACCAAUGGCGAAAAUAUUUUUUGUCACAUGUCUUCAACUACCAAUUAUAUUACCGCCCGGCUAGGUGCACUCGAUUUAGCAUGCACUGCAUGUUCUUAGAAUAUGUUUCGGAUCAGAAUGUGGCGUUUUGCUCACCUGGCGCGUCAGCUAAUGUGAAUGGAGCGCGCAAGGUAAUAAUCAAAUGCAAAGGGAGAGACUUAAACACAGAUUUGACCGAAGCAAAGGGACGGUUGUUGUUGUCUUCGCAAGUGAUCAUCUGAAAUGGUAAGUCGCGUGCUGCUGUAGCGAAAUUAACGGGUUCGCCCUUCUUUAGAAAUUAUAAUAGGCCUAGGAUGGGCAUACUGUAGCCCACAGCCUGUGAUAGCCCAAACUGUUUGUGUUACAUGAAUACCAGACUUGUUAUUCAAUGGAUGGAGGAACCUAUAGGUUUUCUUAAUGAUGAAAUCAAGUUAUUAUGCGUGUUUACCGGUCUAUGUUAACACUCUGUAUCCAGCUAUCUGUAAAUACUGAGCUAAGUUGUUUAUUGGGCUUAUCUUUUUUUUUUUAUUUGCCUAGUAUGUUUUCUUCAGUCUGUUUAGCUUUUGAUUGUAGCGAUGUUGUUAUAUGUGGCCUAGAUAAAAUGUG
rnacentral:lncRNA from 1 species